rnacentral:rRNA from 1 species
GACGAACGCUGGCGGCGUGCUUAACACAUGCAAGUCGAACGGGCCCGCCCCUGUUUUUGGGGGUGGGUUGAGUGGCGAACGGGUGAGUAUCACGUGAGUAACCUGCCCCCUGCUCCUGGAUAACUGCUUGAAAGGGCGGCUAAUACGGGGUGUGCCGGCUGGUCCGCAUGGGCCUGGUCGGGAUAGUUUCAUCUUCGGGUGUUUCGGUGGGGGAUGGGCUCGCGGCCUAUCAGCUUGUUGGUGGGGUGAUGGCCCACCAAGGCGGUGACGGGUAGCCGGCCUGAGAGGGUGGGCGGCCACACUGGGACGGAGACACGGCCCAGACUCCUGCGGGAGGCAGCAGUGGGGGGUAUUGCACAAUGGGCGGAAGCCUGAUGCAGCGACGUCGCGUGAGGGAUGGAGGCCUUCGGGUUGUGAACCUCUUUCUCCGGUGGUGAAGGCCCUGUCCGUUGCGGCGGGGUUGACGGUAGCCGGGUAUGAAGCGCCGGCUAACUACGUG